CUGUCUUCUGGCGCUGUGCUGUGGCGGGAAUCAGCAAAGCUCUUCAACCAUUAUUAUUUGUUAUUUUCAGUUGAAACUGUUGAGCGCGAAACUGUGGAUUAAUAAUGCAGUGAAAUGCAGGUGGAGAUGGAAGGAGCAAUGGUUGGUUUUAGUCAUAAGAGAUUCUUGGAAAAAGUGUUGUGUAGAGUCUGAGAUUUUCUUUGGAACUUUCUUCUAUUAUACAGCAGAUACAAAGUUAUUUUGUUCUAGGUAUAUAUUAUAGAGGGUUUUUAUAUCUGUCUUUUAUACCAUUUUGUGCUAAAAAUGUUUUGCAAAUGCUUUUAGAAAUAAAAAUUUAUUUAAUUGA